rnacentral:rRNA from 1 species
UACAGAGGUCCCAAGCGUUGUUCGGAUUCAUUGGGCGUAAAGGGUGCGUAGGCGGUGUGGUAAGUCGGGUGUGAAAUCUCGGGGCUUAACUCCGAAACUGCAUUCGAUACUGCCGUGCUUGAGGACUGGAGAGGAGACUGGAAUUUACGGUGUAGCGGUGAAAUGCGUAGAUAUCGUAAGGAAGACCAGUGGCGAAGGCGGGUCUCUGGACAGUUCCUGACGCUGAGGCACGAAGGCCAGGGGAGCAAACGGG